UACCAGCACCCCGAGUGGUCGGGACUAUUAUUGGGCCUAAAGCAUCCGUAGCCGGCCUUACAAGUCCUCCGUUAAAUCCAGCUGCUUAACAGAUGGGCUGCGGAGGAUACUAUAAGACUAGGAGGCAGGAGAGGCAAGCGGUACUCAGUGGGUAGGGGUAAAAUCCGUUGAUCCAUUGAAGACCACCAGUGGCGAAGGCGGCUUGCCAGAAUGCGCUCGACGGUGAGGGAUGAAAGCUGGGGGAGCAAACCGG
rnacentral:rRNA from 1 species